UAGGGAAUCUUCCACAAUGGGCGAAAGCCUGAUGGAGCAACGCCGCGUGUGUGAUGAAGGGUUUCGGCUCGUAAACACUGUUGUAAGAGAAGAAUGACAUUGAGAGUAACUGUUCAAUGUGUGACGGUAUCUUACCAGAAAGGAACGGCUAAAUACGUGC
rnacentral:rRNA from 1 species